CUCCUACGGGGUUGCAGCAGUGGGGAAUAUUGCACAAUGGGCGCAAGCCUGAUGCAGCCAUGCCGCGUGUGUGAAGAAGGCCUUAGGGUUGUAAAGCACUUUCAAUGGGGAGGAAAGGUUGGAGGUUAAUACCCUUUGGCUGUGACGUUACCCACAGAAGAAGCACCGGCUAACUCCGUGCCAGCAGCCGCGGUAAUACGGAGGGUGCGAGCGUUAAUCGGAAUUACUGGGCGUAAAGCGUGCGUAGGCGGCCACCUAAGUUGGAUGUGAAAGCCCCGGGCUCAACCCGGGAACUGCAUCCAAAACUGGGUGGCUGGAGUACGGGAGAGGAGUGUGGAAUUUCCUGUGUAGCGGUGAAAUGCGUAGAUAUAGGAAGGAACACCAGUGGCGAAGGCGACACUCUGGCCUGAUACUGACGCUGAGGUACGAAAGCGUGGGGAGCAAACAGGAUUAGAUACCCUGGUAGUCCACGCCGUAAACGAUGUCUACUAGUUGUCGGUUGUCUUGUACGACGGGUAACGCAGCUA
rnacentral:rRNA from 1 species